GAUGAACGCUGGCGGCGUGCCUAAUACAUGCAAGUCGAGCGAACGGACGAGAAGCUUGCUUCUCUGAUGUUAGCGGCGGACGGGUGAGUAACACGUGGAUAACCUACCUAUAAGACUGGGAUAACUUCGGGAAACCGGAGCUAAUACCGGAUAAUAUUUUAAACCGCAUGGUUCAAAAGUGAAAGACGGUCUUGCUGUCACUUAUAGAUGGAUCCGCACUGCAUUAGCUAGUUGGUAAGGUAACGGCUUACCAAGGCAACGAUGCAUAGCCGACCUGAGAGGGUGAACCGCCAGACGGGAACUGAGAAACGGUCCAGACUCCUACGGGGGGCAACAGUAGGGACUCUUCCGCAAUGGGCGAAAGCCUGACGGAGCAACGCCGCGUGAGUGAUGAAGGUCUUCGGAUCGUAAAACUCUGUUAUUAGGGAAGAACAUAUGUGUAAGUAACUGUGCACAUCUUGACGGUACCUAAUCAGAAAGCCACGGCUAACUACGUG
rnacentral:rRNA from 1 species